GACGAACGCUGGCGGCGUGCUUAACACAUGCAAGUCGAACGGAAAGGCCCUGCUUUUGUGGGGUGCUCGAGUGGCGAACGGGUGAGUAACACGGGAGUAACCUGCCCUUGACUUUGGGAUAACUUCAGGAAACUGGGGCUAAUACCGGAUAGGAGCUCCUGCUGCAUGGGGGGGGUUGGAAAGUUUCGGCGGUUGGGGAUGGACUCGCGGCUUAUCAGCUUGUUGGUGGGGUAGUGGCUUACCAAGGCUUUGACGGGUAGCCGGCCUGAGAGGGUGACCGGCCACAUUGGGACUGAGAUACGGCCCAGACUCCUACGGGAGGCAGCAGUGGGGAAUAUUGCACAAUGGGCGGAAGCCUGAUGCAGCAACGCCGCGUGCGGGAUGACGGCCUUCGGGUUGUAAACCGCUUUCGCCUGUGACGAAGCGUGAGUGACGGUAAUGGGUAAAGAAGCACCGGCUAACUACGUG
rnacentral:rRNA from 1 species